AGUUAGUUGGUGGGGUAACGGCCUACCAAGACGAUGAUCAGUAGCCGGACUGAGAGGUUGAACGGCCACAUUGGGACUGAGAUACGGCCCAGACUCCUACGGGAGGCAGCAGUGGGGAAUCUUCCGCAAUGGACGAAAGUCUGACGGAGCAACGCCGCGUGAGUGAUGACGGCCUUCGGGUUGUAAAGCUCUGUUAAUCGGGACGAAUGGUUCUUGUGCGAAUAGUGCGAGGAUUUGACGGUACCGGAAUAGAAAGCCACGGCUAACUACGUGCCAGCAGCCGCGGUAAUACGUAGGUGGCAAGCGUUGUCCGGAAUUAUUGGGCGUAAAGCGCGCGCAGGCGGAUUGGUCAGUCUGUCUUAAAAGUUCGGGGCUUAACCCCGUGAUGGGAUGGAAACUGCCAAUCUAGAGUAUCGGAGAGGAAAGUGGAAUUCCUAGUGUAGCGGUGAAAUGCGUAGAUAUUAGGAAGAACACCAGUGGCGAAGCGACUUUCUGGACGAAAACUGACGCUGAGGCGCGAAAGCCAUGGGAGCGAACGGGAUUAGAUACCCCGGUAGUCCUGGCCGUAAACGAUGGGUACUAGGUGUAGGAGGUAUCGACCCCUUCUGUGCCGGAGUUAACGCAAUAGUACCCCGCCUGGGGAGUACGACCGCAGGUUGAAACUCAAAGGAAUUGACGG
rnacentral:rRNA from 1 species